CGAUUUGUGGGGGAUAGCCGGCCCAACGGCCGGGUAAUACCGCAUACGUUCACUGGACGGCAUCGUCUGGUGAGGAAACCUCCGGGGCAAAUCGAGGCGCUCGCGGCCUAUCAGCUAGUUGGCGGGGUAAUGGCCCACCAAGGCGACGACGGGUAGCUGGUCUGAGAGGAUGGCCAGCCACAUUGGGACUGCGACACGGCCCAGACUCCUACGGGAGGCAGCAGUGGGGAAUAUUGCGCAAUGGACGAAAGUCUGACGCAGCGACGCCGCGUGUGGGAUGAAGCCUUUCGGGGCGUAAACCACUGUUGCCCGGGACGAAACUCCCCUUUCGAGGGGAUUGACGGUACCGGGUGAGGAAGCACCGGCUAACUCUGUGCCAGCAGCCGCGGUAAUACAGAGGGUGCGAGCGUUGUCCGGAAUCACUGGGCGUAAAGGGCGCGUAGGUGGCUUGGUAAGCGUGUGGUGAAAGUCCGGGGCUCAACCCCGGAUCUGCCGUGCGAACUGCUGAGCUUGAGCACUGUAGAGGCAGGUGGAAUUUCGGGUGUAGCGGUGGAAUGCGUAGAUAUCCGAAAGAACACCAGUGGCGAAGGCGGCCUGCUGGGCAGUAGCUGACACUGAGGCGCGACAGCGUGGGGAGCAAACAGGAUUAGAUACCCUGGUAGUCCACGCCGUAAACGAUGGGUACUAGGUGUCUGGGGGAGCGACCCCCUGGGUGCCGGCGCUAACGCAUGAAGUACCCCGCCUGGGGAGUACGGCCGCAAGGCUGAAACUCAAAGGAAUUGACGGGGGCCCGCACAAGCGGUGGAGCAUGUGGUUUAAUUCGACGCAACGCGAAGAACCUUACCUAGGCUUGACAUGCUGGAGAAAGC
rnacentral:rRNA from 1 species